rnacentral:rRNA from 1 species
AAGGAAUAGACGGGGACCCGCACAAGCGGUGGAGCAUGUGGUUUAAUUCGAAGAUACGCGAAGAACCUUACCUAGGCUUGAUAUCCAACAAAUUCUGUAGAGAUACGGAAGUGCUAGCUUGCUAGAACUUAGAGACAGGUGCUGCACGGCUGUCGUCAGCUCGUGUCGUGAGAUGUUGGGUUAAGUCCCGCAACGAGCGCAACCCUCGUCCUUAGUUGCUAACGAUUCGGUCGAGCA